AGCUAAACCCCCUUUGGUGGCCGGCCUUUUGUGUGGUUUUUGAGAGAGAGAGGUUUUCUUCUUUUGCGAAAAAUCAACACACAAAACCCUAAUAAAUUUUUUCACUAUAAAGUUCCUUUUAUAGCACAAAGAACAAGUCAACAACUUGACUUCCUCUCUCUCCCUUUCCCUUUAUUUGGCCGGCCCCUUUUAGUGUUGUUUGGGCUUUGGGCUUUUAUUAUUUCAAGUCAUCCUAUGCUUAAAUAAAAGCCUAAUGGGUUUGGGCUUAAUGGGCCCAUAUUAACCCGAACUUUUCUUUAAGCCCAAAACGAUCUUUUAUCGCUUUU
rnacentral:lncRNA from 1 species